UACGAAGGGUGCAAACGUUGCUCGGAAUUAUUGGGCGUAAAGCGCACGUAGGCGGCUUGGCAAGUCGGAUGUGAAAUCCCUCGGCUCAACCAAGGAAGUGCAUCCGAAACUGCCGAGCUUGAGUACUUAAGAGGAUCGCGGAAUUCCCGGUGUAGAGGUGAAAUUCGUAGAUAUCAGGAAGAACACCCGUGGCGAAGGCGGUUCUCUGGGACGGUACUGACGCUGAGACGCGAAAGCGUGGGGAGCGAACAGG
rnacentral:rRNA from 1 species